GCCUACGGGUGGCUGCAGUCGAGGAUCUUUCGCAAUGGGCGAAAGCCUGACGAAGCGACGCUGUGUGAGCGAUGAAGGCCUUCGGGUUGUAAAGCUCUUUCGCAUAAGAACAAGAAAGGCCGGUGAAUAACCGGCUGAUUUGAGUGUACUAUGUAAAGAAGCACCGGCUAACUCCGUGCCAGCAGCUGCGGUAAUACGGAGGGUGCAAGCAUUAAUCGGAUUUAUUGGGCGUAAAGGGCGCGUAGGCGGUUAUGUAAGUCAGAUGUGAAAUUCCGAAGCUCAACUUCGGAGCUGAAUUUGAAACUGCAAGACUAGAGGAGUGGCGGAGAAAAUGGAAUUCCACGUGUAGCGGUGAAAUGCGUAGAUAUGUGGAAGAACACCGGUGGCGAAAGCGGUUUUCUAGCUUAUUCCUGACGCUGAGGCGCGAGAGCAAGGGGAGCAAACAGGAUUAGAUACCCUAGUAGUCUC
rnacentral:rRNA from 1 species